GAGCAGGUAGCCUAGUGGUUAGAGCAGGUAGCCUAGUGGUUAGAGACAGGUAGCCUAGUGGUUAGAGCAGGUAGCCUAGUGGUUAGAGCAGGUAGCCUAGUGGUUAGAGCAGGUAGCCUAGUGGUUAGAGACAGGUAGCCUAGUGGUUAGAGCAGGUAGCCUAGUGGUUAGAGGCAGGUAGCCUAGUGGUUAGAGACAGGUAGCCUAGUGGUUAGAGACAGGUAGCCUAGUGGUUAGAGCAGGUAGCCUAGUGGUUAGAGACAGGUAGCCCAGUGGUUAGAGCAGGUAACCUAGUGGUCAGAGCAGGUAGCCUAGUGGUUAGAGCAGGUAGCC
ensembl:lncRNA